GGGGAAUCUUGCACAAUGGGGGCAACCCUGAUGCAGCGACGCCGCGUGAGCGAUGAAGCCCUUCGGGGCGUAAAGCUCUUUCGACCGGAACGAUAAUGACGGUACCGGGAGAAGAAGCUGCGGCUAACUACGUGCCAGCAGCCGCGGUAAUACGUAGGCAGCAAGCGUUGUUCGGAGUUACUGGGCGUAAAGAGUGCGUAGGCGGUUUUCUAAGUUCGGUGUGAAAUCUCCCGGCUUAACUGGGAGGGUGCGCCGAAGACUGGGAAGCUUGAGUGUGGGAAAGGCAGGCGGAAUUCCUGGUGUAGCGGAGGAAUGCGUAGAUAUCAGGAGGAACACCGGCGGUGUAGACGGCUUGCUAGACCAUAACUGACGCUGAGGCACGAAAGCGUGGGUAGCAAACA
rnacentral:rRNA from 1 species